UCCGGUUUGGCACCGGCAGUCCCCCGAGAGUCCUCAGCGCCUUGCGGCCUGUUAGCAACACGGGGCGGGGGUUGCGCUCGUUGCGGGACUUAACCCAACAUCUCACGACACGAGCUGACGACAGCCAUGCAGCACCUGUGCUGGAGCUCCGAAGAGGGGCCAAUGUUUCCACGGCUGUCAGUUACAUGUCAAGCCCAGGUAAGGUUCUUCGCGUUGCUUCGAAUUGAACCACAUGCUCCACCGCUUGUGCGGGCCCCCGUCAAUUCCUUUGAGUUUCAGCCUUGCGGCCGUACUCCCCAGGCGGGGUACUUAUUGCGUUAGCGACGGCACCGAAGGGGUCGCUCCCCCCGGCGCCUAGUACCCAUCGUUUACGGCGUGGACUAC
rnacentral:misc_RNA from 1 species